rnacentral:rRNA from 1 species
GAUGAACGCUGGCGGCGUGCUUAACACAUGCAAGUCGAACGGAAAGGCUCCUGCUUGCAGGGGUACUCGAGUGGCGAACGGGUGAGUAACACGUGGGUGAUCUGCCCUGCACUUCGGGAUAAGCCUGGGAAACUGGGUCUAAUACCGGAUAGGACGAUGGUUUGGAUGCCAUUGUGGAAAGUUUUUUCGGUGUGGGAUGAGCUCGCGGCCUAUCAGCUUGUUGGUGGGGUAAUGGCCUACCAAGGCGUCGACGGGUAGCCGGCCUGAGAGGGUGUACGGCCACAUUGGGACUGAGAUACGGCCCAGACUCCUACGGGAGGCAGCAGUGGGGAAUAUUGCACAAUGGGCGCAAGCCUGAUGCAGCGACGCCGCGUGGGGGAUGACGGCCUUCGGGUUGUAAACUCCUUUCGCUAGGGACGAAGCGCAAGUGACGGUACCUGGAGAAGAAGCACCGUCUAACUACGUG